UUCCGGUUGAUCCCGCCGGACCUGACUGCUAUCGGAUUGAUACUAAGCCAUGCGAGUCAUUGUAGUAAUACAAGGCAGACGGCUCAGUAACGCGUAGUCAACCUACCCUAUGGACGGGGAUAACCUCGGGAAACUGAGAAUAAUACCCGAUAGAACAUUAUACCUGGAAUGGUUUAUGUUUCAAAUAAUUUAUUGCCGUAGGAUGGGACUGCGGCCUAUCAGUUUGUUGGUGAGGUAAUGGCCCACCAAGACUAUUACAGGUACGGGCUCUGAGAGGAGUAGCCCGGAGAUGGGUACUGAGACACGGACCCAGGCCCUAUGGGGCGCAGCAGGCGAGAAAACUUUGCAAUGUGCGAAAGCACGACAAGGUUAAUCCGAGUGGUUUCUGCUAAAGGAACCUUUUGUCAGUCCUAGAAACACUGGUGAAUAAGGGGUGGGCAAGUUCUGGUGUCAGCCGCCGCGGUAAAACCAGCACCUCAAGUGGUCAGGAUGAUUAUUGGGCCUAAAGCAUCCGUAGCCUGCUUUGUUAGUUUUCGGUUAAAUCCAUACGCUUAACGUAUGGGCUGCCGGGAAUACUGCAAAGCUAGGGAGUGGGAGAGGUAGACGGUACUCGGUAGGAAGGGGUAAAAUCCUUUGAUCUAUUGAUGACCACCUGUGGCGAAGGCGGUCUACCAGAACACGUCCGACGGUGAGGGAUGAAAGCUGGGGGAGCAAACCGGAUUAGAUACCCGGGUAGUCCCAGCUGUAAACUAUGCAAACUCGGUGAUGCAUUGGCUUGAUGCCAAUGCAGUGCCGCACGGAAGCCGUUAAGUUUGCCGCCUGGGAAGUACGUACGCAAGUAUGAAACUUAAAGGAAUUGGCGGGGGAGCACACAAGGGGUGAAGCCUGCGGUUCAAUUGGAUUCAACGCCGAGA
rnacentral:rRNA from 1 species